AAUGGGGGAUAACGUAGCGAAAGUUACGCUAAUACCGCAUAUGCCCUGAGGGGGAAAGGAGGGGAUCGCAAGACCUUUCGCUUUCGGAGUGGCCGAUAUCGGAUUAGCUAGUUGGUGAGGUAAAGGCUCACCAAGGCGACGAUCCGUAGCGGGUCUGAGAGGAUGAUCCGCCACACUGGGACUGAGACACGGCCCAGACUCCUACGGGAGGCAGCAGUGGGGAAUUUUGGACAAUGGGGGCAACCCUGAUCCAGCCAUGCCGCGUGAGUGAAGAAGGCCUUCGGGUUGUAAAGCUCUUUCGGACAGAAAGAAAUCCUAUCCGCUAAUACCGGGUGGGGAUGACGGUACUGUAAGAAGAAGCACCGGCUAACUACGUGCCAGCAGCCGCGGUAAUACGUAGGGUGCGAGCGUUAAUCGGAAUUACUGGGCGUAAAGCGUGCGCAGGCGGCUUUUUAAGCCAGAUGUGAAAUCCCCGGGCUUAACCUGGGAACUGCAUUUGGAACUGGAAGGCUAGAGUGUAGCAGAGGGGGGUAGAAUUCCA
rnacentral:rRNA from 1 species